rnacentral:misc_RNA from 1 species
UUAUUUAUUUAUUUUUUUUAAAUGUACAUAGAUUAAGAUUUGAACUUGUAAAUGAUGAGAGAAAAGAAUUCUUCAAAUGGAUCUUAAAGUUUGUAUUUGAGAUCACACUCCUUUAAUAGUUAUUUAAAAAUUCAUCCUCAUAUUAUUUUUCAUCAACAUUCAUGUAUUGGGAACUUUAUUCAAGAAAUUUAAACUAAAACAGCAGGCACAAAUGCCAUUAUCCAAAUGUGACAUAAUCUGAACAAUGCAGGUAGGUGUGGAGAAUUGCAGAAUGAUGCAUGCAUUAAUUUAGGAUUCUUGUUUGUAAGGAAAUGUUCUAGGUCACAAAAAUGGUGGUGUAAAGGAAAGGUGUGAUGGAACCUUAAGGAUAGCUUAAGAAAGUCUGGCAGGAGAUUCAAGAGAAGUAAAAAGUUAGUCCAAAAUGAGUUGUAUAUAAUAACCAAAAAUGAGGGUCAGGGGAGUGAUUAUAUUACAUGAGGACAGCCUUCUCCUAACUCAUUGACACCUAACUGAAUGGUAUUGCAUUCUGUAAAGUUCAUGUGGCUGGGCAGAAAAUAUUUUUAUGAAUGAUUGAGUCCCUUGCAAAAUGACCUACUUGCAAUAUAUUACUUCACUAUUCAGACGAUCAUGUCCUUGUUUAUUACUUUUUUCUGUCAGUAUAUCAACCUUCUGCUUGUUUUUGCUCAACUGUGAAUUGAUAAUUUGAUAUGAUAGUGAGUUAAACUGCUUGUUUUUCUGCACUGAACUUGGUUUUGAGUGUCACAGAUCAUUUCUCUGUGGUGGAUCA